CCAAGGUUUCGAUACAAAGGUAGCUCUUGGCCUCCUCGCUGACCAAUUCCUGAACAGUCUCAGAAAAGUAGCCUGAUAAUUAGUAGUCACUGACUUUUAAUGAUCUGACCUCAUCCUAAUGGUGCAACCCCAAAAUCUCAGGCAAGACCAGCAAUUCUCACCUCUGUCUUCUUUUAAAUAUCACAACAAGGGCUGUCUAGAUGGGAGCGUUCCUGGAAGCCUGACAGGCACAAAUCCAACUUAGCACAUAAAGUCCACACUUGGAUUGCUAACUAUUUAGCAGAUACAUUAUGAAAGUACAAGUAUAUCAUCACUCAUCCGAUUCAGUAGAAGCUACCCAGAGAGAAACUCGAGUCUUCAAUAUCCACAAAUUUUAACAUCUCCAAACUUUUGGCCUGUGCCUCAUAGACCUGCCUGCAACACACUGGACCUUGAAAAGAGAGGCCUACAGAAGAUGAGAAGAAAGGUCGCCCUCUGAGACAACAGGAAAGACUUAGCUGGGCCAGGGCUGCGUACGUAAGAGUCGCUGAAACCCGGGUUCACAUCCUGAGCAAGGUUGCUGUGCUCUCAUGAUUUUGCUCUGCACGCAGUGCGGGCUCUGCUUCUGAUACGGCGGUAUGGGUGGGGGCACCUAAGUGACGCAGGCUGGAGAAGGGGACCGACACCCUGGCGCUGCGAAGGGAUUAAGAGGUAUUUCUGAUAUCUGCAGAGAACACAAGCAUCGGGAGCCCAAGUAUGGAAUGGAACGGAGGCCUAGAAAGACGGGAUGGAGUGGGUGGUUGUUCUUUCGUUUUCUUUUACUUUUUUUUUUUUUUUGGUCAUCCAUUGACUUUAAUUAAGCCCAGCCAGUCUCAUAGCAUGGGAA